GGAUGACAGUGAUCUGACUGUGACACCUGUCACUCCAUUGAUUGCUGGGGUUAAUUUGGCUGAUCUGGCUGGCUAGGCGGGUGUCCCCUUCCUUCCUCAUCAGUGCACGUGCACCCCUCCCAAAGCUGUGUGCUCGGUCAAAGAGGACGACCACCGCGAUAGAGGACAACAGUUCUUUGGUUUAGGGUGUACGAAUAGCUGCAUUCCCCUGCUAGAACCUCCAAACAAGCUUUCAAGGAGUUGACCAACUGGCCAGUCAGAACACAGCUCUGGAUCCAGGUUUAAAUCCCAUUGUUACUGCUUAUCUGUUGUGAGAAUCUGGGCACGUUA
rnacentral:snRNA from 1 species